UCAAUCUUUAAAAGAAAAAUUAAGUAUGCAUAACUAACAUUCUAGAAAAAAAAGACAUUUGCAUGCUUAACAAGUUAAACCAAGUGCUAACAUUUUUAUAUGGGUGAAAUUAUGAUUUCGUCUAUAAUUACAAACAACAUGGUUGAAUCACUGUAUGCAUCUGUAGGUAGCGGUGUUGAAACAGGGGAGCCAAGACCGGGCAACCAGUGCUCUUCCUUGAUCUUCCGGAAAGAUGAUCCCUUGAAAAACAAAGCACUACAAAAUAUGAAAAAAGGAAUUUAGUUUUCUAAGGCCCAAAUCGGCGGGCCCUUGAGAAACUCAAUUUUUCUUGAGUAAAUAAAAAUGGGUCUUUGGGUAAUAAAUUAUUAUUUUAGUAUUAUUUCUGUAAAAAAGCCGAAAACAAAAAAAUAAACGCACCGGGUUGUCCCAAGGCUAAAACGCAACGUUUGGCUUAAUCCUGACGCUGAACUGAGCGGAAGGAAAGGGAGAAAAAAGGGACAUCAAGGGAAACACGAAUCACAAGCGCUGAUGAACAAUCUGGAAGAGUGCAAAGCCUAC
rnacentral:lncRNA from 1 species